rnacentral:rRNA from 1 species
CCUACGGGAGGCAGCAGUGAGGAAUAUUGGUCAAUGGGCGCGAGCCUGAACCAGCCAAGUAGCGUGAAGGAUGACUGCCCUACGGGUUGUAAACUUCUUUUAUAAAGGAAUAAAGUGAGGCACGUGUGCCUUUUUGUAUGUACUUUAUGAAUAAGGAUCGGCUAACUCCGUGCCAGCAGCCGCGGUAAUACGGAGGAGCCGAGCGUUAUCCGGAUUUAUUGGGUUUAAAGGGAGCGUAGAUGGGUUGUUAAGUCGAUUGGGAAAGUUUGCGGCUCAACCGUAAAUUUGCAGUUGAUACUGGGAGUCUUGAGGGCAGUUGAUGUAGGCGGAAUUGGUGGUGUAGGGGUGAAAGG